rnacentral:rRNA from 1 species
UACGGGGGGAGCAAGCGUUGUUCGGAUUUACUGGGCGUAAAGGGCGCGUAGGCGGUCCUUCAAGUCAGGCGUGAAAGCCCCGGGCUCAACCUGGGAACCGCGCUUGAGACUGGCGGGCUAGAGUUCGGGAGAGGAUGGUGGAAUUCCCAGUGUAGAGGUGAAAUUCGUAGAUAUUGGGAAGAACACCGAUGGCGAAGGCAGCCAUCUGGACCGACACUGACGCUGAGGCGCGAAAGCGUGGGGAGCAAACAGG